rnacentral:rRNA from 1 species
CUACGGGUUGCUGCAGUGAGGAAUAUUGCACAAUGGGGGGAACCCUGAUGCAGCAACGCCGCGUGGAGGAUGACGCAUUUCGGUGUGUAAACUCCUUUUAUAUAAGAAGAUAAUGACGGUAUUAUAUGAAUAAGCACCGGCUAACUCCGUGCCAGCAGCCGCGGUAAUACGGGGGGUGCAAGCGUUACUCGGAAUCACUGGGCGUAAAGAGCAUGUAGGCGGGUAGAAAAGUUGGAAGUGAAAUCCUAUGGCUUAACCAUAGAACUGCUUCCAAAACUCUUUACCUAGAAUAUGGGAGAGGUAGAUGGAAUUUCUGGUGUAGGGGUAAAAUCCGUAGAGAUCAGAAGGAAUACCGAUUGCGAAGGCGAUCUACUGGAACAUUAUUGACGCUCAGAUGCGAAAGCGUGGGGAGCAAACAGGAUUAGAUACCCGCGUAGUC